rnacentral:rRNA from 1 species
AGUGAACGCUGGCGGUAGGCCUAACACAUGCAAGUCGAACGGCAGCACAGUAAGAGCUUGCUCUUACGGGUGGCGAGUGGCGGACGGGUGAGGAAUACAUCGGAAUCUACUUUUUCGUGGGGGAUAACGUAGGGAAACUUACGCUAAUACCGCAUACGACCUACGGGUGAAAGCAGGGGAUCUUCGGACCUUGCGCGAUUGAAUGAGCCGAUGUCGGAUUAGCUAGUUGGCGGGGUAAAGGCCCACCAAGGCGACGAUCCGUAGCUGGUCUGAGAGGAUGUUAGGCAAAACGGGAACGGGGCACGGUCCAGAAUCCUACGGGAGGGAGCAGUGGGGAAUAUUUGGCAAUGGGGGGAAGCCUGAUCCAGGCAUACCGCGUGGGUGAAGAAGGCCUUCGGGUUGUAAAGCCCUUUUGUUGGGAAAGAAGAGCAGCAGGUUAAUACCCCGCUGUUCUGACGGUACCCAAAGAAUAAGCACCGGCUAACUUCGUG